UGGCAUCUUCAUACUGAGCAGGAAUUAUUCUACUGAGGACAAUUUGAAGUUUUUUGAGUAUUUCCAGUUUAUGCAGCUCUCUGCUGGGCCUCCCCUGCAUUUCAGAGACGAGGCUGCGUUACUCAGCAGGACACCAGAGGGGCCACGAGCCCACACUGUUAUUUAGUCGUAAAUGAUUUGAUUAGUAGUAAAUUUGUGUAGGAAUGUGCACCACGAGGAGCGAUAUCAACAAAGAUUAAACGUGACCAGCACCUGAACCACCUACGACAUCGAAAGAGCUGUUUACAGUCCGUUCUGCAGACGAGUGCAUCUGUCUGAGAAGUGAUGAAUGAAACAUUCGUUUCUACGGAGAGUUGAAAACGCUCAGAGGCAGCCGACUCA